rnacentral:rRNA from 1 species
GCAAGUCGAGCGCCCUGCUUGCAGGGAGCGGCAGACGGGUGAGUAACGCGUGGGAACCUACCUGGUGGUAUGGAAUAACGCAGGGAAACUUGUGCUAAUACCGUAUAAGCCCCCCUUUGGAGACAUUGGGGGGGAAAGAUUUAUCGCCAUUAGAUGGGCCCGCGUUGGAUUAGCUAGUUGGUGAGGUAACGGCUCACCAAGGCGACGAUCCAUAGCUGGUCUGAGAGGAUGAUC